rnacentral:lncRNA from 1 species
CUCACAGUGAAAGCACAAAACAUCAAGCCAACAGUUCAGGACUAGUCAUUCAAAUGGACUAAAGGUGGGGGAGAAAAAAUAAGAGUGGAUAAAAGAAAGAAAGAAAACAGAGAAAGGUGGGAAAAAAAAAACAAAGGAAGGAAGAGAGAAAAGAGAAUGAGAGGAAGAGAAGGAAGGGGAAAAACAAGAUUGACUUUACAGUAUGAGAUAUACUAUUAUAUAUUGUAGUAUGAUGCCUCUGGCUUCCCUCUAUCACACGUCUUCUUUUCGAGUAAAGGUUUUUCAUAAAUGUGAGCGUGGAAGAAGAAACCAGUUAAAUAUGGAACUUCACACCAGGACACAAAAGGACUUCAAACUUUUAGAUUCCACAAGUAUGUGAAAAGAUGCAGUAUUUGUCUUUCUGUGCAUGGUUUACUUCACUUAUCAUCAUGUCCCUCAGGUUCAUCCACGUUGUUGCAAAUGACAGGAUUUCAUUCAUUUUUAAGACUGAAUAGUACUCCAUUAUGCAAAUAUACCAGAUUUUCAUUGUCUAUUCGUUCACUGAUGAACACGGGUUAAUCCUAUAUGUUGGCUAUUGUGAAUAAAGCUGCAAUGAAUAUGAGAGUACAGAUAUAUUCUUGACAUAUUAAUUUUAUUUUAUUUGGCAAUAUACCCAAUAGUAGCUAGAUCAUAUCAGAGUUCUAUUUUUAAUUUUUGAGGAAACUUCAUACUGUUUUUCAUAAUAGUUAUUACUAAUUUACACUCAGUAUACAAGAGUUCCCUUUUCUCCACAUUCUUUCCAAAAUUUGUUUCCUUUUCCCUUUUUGAUAACAGCUACUCUAACUGGGGUGAAAUAAUAUCUCACUGUGGUUUUAAUUUUCAUUUAUCUGAUUAAUGAUUUUGAGCUUUUUAAAAUAAAUACUUGUUGGCAAUUUGUAUGUCAUCUUUUGAGAAGUGUCUAUUAAAAUUUGUUUGCCUAUUUUUAAUCAGGUUAUUUGUUCUUACUAUUUUGUUAUUGGAGUUUCUUACAUAUUUUAGAUAUUAUGUGCAAAUAUGUCCUUCUAUGCUGUAAGUUGUCUUUCUACUCUUGUAAAAACAAGACCCAAAUAUAUACUGCAUACAAAAGAGUCACUUCAUCUGUAGGGACACAAGUAGCCUGAAAGUGAAGAAAUGAAAAACAAAAUAUUCCAUCCCAAUGAAAACCAAAGAGAAGGAGUAGCUCUACUUAUAUCAUGAAAUUGACUUUAUGUCAAAAACUGUGAAACAAGAAAAAUAAGGUUAUUAUGCAAUGAUAAAGGAGUUAAUUCAUCAAAAAUGUGUAACAAUUGCCAAUCUAUAUGCAUGCAAUAUCAGAGCAGUAAUUAUAUAAUGCAAAUAAUAGUAGAACUGAAGUUAGGGAUGCACUGUAAUAUUAUAAUAACAGGGUAAGUCAAUACCCUACUAUCUGCAAUGGAAAGAUCAUCAAGGCAGAAAAUCACUAAGAACAUAUGAGACUUAUACUGCACUUUGGAACAAAUGGAGCGAACAGACAUACACUGAACAUUUUACCCACCAUUAGUGGAAAACACAUUCUUCUCCA